AAAAAAUAUUUUGGUGGCAGCAGUUUGAAUGGAUUUGAAAGCAGGAUUUCAGUCAGCAAGGCAAAAGAAGAAAAGACUACAGUAUCCAAUGAGUGAGAUAAGGACCUGUACAAAAUUGUUGGUGCUGGAUGGACCAUAUUCAUUACUGGUGGCUCAGUCAGAAUCUAGCCCAGAGAAUGGAAAACUUCUGUUUUGUGGGUAACUUGACACAGAUGACCCCAAAGAGACAAGAUUUUUUCUGCCUCUAAAGAGGAUCUGGAGGGUCUCUCUACUUUAGUGGUGCUCAAUGAAUAUGAAUUCUUCCUGCGCUAUCAAAUGAUUAUUAGGACAUAAAUGGAGUGAUCAGACAGUUGUCAUUUGCAUCUUUCACACUCAAGUUGUUUCGCCGUCUCCUGGAAUUUCUCCUGAAAAAUUAUAAACGUUGGCUGGUGCACAAUGUGUUACAAGGUGGUCAGCAAAAUCCAGCAGUACGCCAGCCACUCACUUAGGUCCUACUGUGACAAAGGGACCGUUCCGGAAAGAUGGUACCCUAUAACACCUCCGAUAUCUUCUUACUGCGAAAACUGUGGAAGUGCGGACUAGAACUGUUUAAUGAAGUUCUACUCUGGAAAAACUACUCUGGAAAAAGUGUGUCAUGAAGUUCCAUGUUUACUGUUUCUCAGUGACUCCCAAAUCUGCUUUGACAAUGAAAACCUUGUUCUAACUGUCAAUCCUGUAAACUCACCUGGGAUCUGAAAGUGUUUUGUUUCUGGAUCAGGUAUUCUCAACAGAAAUAAAGACUGCAGUCACAGCUAAGUUUAACAAUUCUGUUGGUGGUGUGAAAACCAGAAUAGAUUCCAGCUCACCCACCAAUGGGUGCAUUUGCUCUGCUCUUCUGACAGAAAUAGUAAGAAAUAAAACCAUGUUUAAUGUUCUCCUUCUCUCUCAGACAAAUACCCUACCGUAUGUGUGUCUUCAGUCACAACUCUGGUUGCUGCUGUCACUGCUGCUUUUCAGGUGGGCCAAGUGGAAGGGGCUUUCCCAACCCUGUGCUCUGUUGCAGGCCCCAGUAUUGUGAGUACUGGGAGAGAGAGCUUGAGAGCUCUGAGUCAUCACUCAGGGACUUCAUUGAGCUAGGAAAGAGUGGAUCCCCAGCUCAUCACUCUGCCAGGCCAAAGUGUACCAUCUUCCUAGCCUGCUGGUGUAGCUCUUUAAUUAAGGCUAUUCAUAACCUCCCAGCCAGGGCUCUGGGCUCAGAUGUACUCCUGCAUCCUGUAAAGAGAACACAGCAAGGUCAACAUUACCAUUCUCCUUCCUGAGUGAGGACUAUAUAGGUGUGGUGGGUGAGCCACUCAUUUAAGUCAAUGGGAUCAGUUGUGGAAUCAGGUGCUACACAACCUGAGGAGUAUCAGAGUUUGUCCCACUCUGACUUUAUGCUGUCUUUCUAAUCUGCCUUUCUUCCCCUUCCAUUUUGAAGUUUCAUACCCAGUGCUUUUAUGGCAUAAGAAUAGCCAUUCUAGGUCAGACCAAUGGUCUGUCUAGCCCAGUAUUCUUUUUUCUGACAGUGGCCAGUGCCAGAGGCUUCAGAGGGAAUGAGCAGAACAGGGUGGAAUGAGAAAUAUAAGAGAGAACCUAUUAUACCCAUCAUUUCAAAUAAUGGCAUUCCCCCCUUACCUAUGAGAAUGAAAUUCAUCCUUAUUGAAGGGUCUGGCACAAGACCUACACAACACUUUAGUCACCUGUUGAGAGUUUUAAAUGGGUUUAAGUAGCAUACAAUUCUCUACAUGUAGGUGAAUUUCACCCCAAUUUCUUAUUUUACAGUCUCACUCUGACUUCCAUUUGAAAUCCUAUUCACAGAUAUAUUUCAUAUAAUUUUUGUAAGAUUUAUGUUUGUCUGUUCUUAUUAAAAAAUUAACCCACUAAGUUGUGAUGAGUUGAUUUUAGGAUUUGAUAUAUAAUGCACUAAUGAAAGGACUCUUUCCCCCCUUUUUUUAUUUAAAGCUUGUAUUGAUAGCUAAUUUACUUUACUAUGAUAGAUAUUUUUUUCUAAAUUGUAUUCCUAUGAUUUGUCAAAAUAAACAGAAAACAAAUAUUUGCUAAAGCCGCCUGCCCAGUUGACUAGUACUUCUUUGUACAAAUCGCACUUGACUGAUUGACCCUGAGACCAUAUCACCGAGCUCAAUGUCCAGUAUAGUGGUCUUUCUGAUAUAUGGAGUCUAGGGGCUGAGCAUUAGGGAACUCAGAGGACUGAUCACUGACAUACAUCCUGUUAUAAUAUUAGGCUUAUGUGACCUUCACGUGGAUGGCACUGAUGUCAAUUUAAAAGUCAUGAGUUUGAAAAGGGAAAGCUUUUCAAAAGCUACAGACUUUGAAACAAUACACCAAACCAUUCUUCCUGUAACUCCAUUAACAUGAAAGAAAUUUCAGUGGAAGGAUAUGAAAGUAUAUAGAAGAGAAAAGUCUGUUGCAAACAUGAAUGAAGUUUGGAUUCAAACAUGGAUCUGAAAUUUGCAGCUUGGGGUCCAAAUAAAGCAAUGCAACUGUCUUUCUAAGCACGAUGAAUGUAAAAACUGACAGUAAUGACCUUACUAUAAGAGUACAGAAAAUAAAUUUUGAGUGAAAAUACUGAAAAUAUCUACAUCAUCCUAAUAUGAAACUUUCUGUUUCUCUACAAGUAGAUUAUAUUAAAAUACAAAAGCAUAGAAAAUAUCAUUAGUACAGUUUUCCAGUCUGUAUGUAAUAUGUCUUAUCUUCUAGAAUUCAGUGGAGGACAAAUGUAUAUGAUGACACAGAAAGGAAUAAUAGCUUAGUUAAAAAUGUUGUGAUAAUCAUUGCAAGUUUGCAAAUUUUUAUAUUAACAUGAUCUGGACAGUCUUGGAAUAGCAGUAUAUUGUGUUUUGAAUGUAGCUCCCACAGAAUUGUAUUAAAGUUAAUUUUGUCACAUUAAUGUUAUAUAGUAGGAGUAGGACUCUGUAGACUUGCAUUGACAUUGUUUCAUUUCAUCAUGACAUUGUAAUGUGUGGUCUCAACAGACUUUCAUUGACACAUGAUGAGAUUGUUAUGACAUUUGCAAGCCCCUUAAAGCAGUGGUGGGCAACCUGUGGCCCAUCAGGGUACUGCGCUGGCAGG